CCACGGGUGGCAGCAGUGGGGAAUAUUGGACAAUGGGCGAAAGCCUGAUCCAGCCAUGCCGCGUGUGUGAAGAAGGCCUUCGGGUUGUAGAGCACUUUCAGUGGGGAAGAAAGCCUUGGGGCCAAUACCCUCGAGGAAGGACAUCACCCACAGAAGAAGCACCGGCUAACUCCGUGCCAGCAGCCGCGGUAAUACGGAGGGUGCGAGCGUUAAUCGGAAUUACUGGGCGUAAAGCGCGCGUAGGCGGUCUGAUAAGCCGGUUGUGAAAGCCCCGGGCUCAACCUGGGAACGGCAUCCGGAACUGUCAGGCUAGAGUGCAGGAGAGGAAGGUAGAAUUCCCGGUGUAGCGGUGAAAUGCGUAGAGAUCGGGAGGAAUACCAGUGGCGAAGGCGGCCUUCUGGACUGACACUGACGCUGAGGUGCGAAAGCGUGGGUAGCAAACAGGAUUAGAUACCCCAGUAGUC
rnacentral:rRNA from 1 species